GCGGGUAUGAUGUAAUGGUAGCCUUUCAGCUUCCCAAGCUGAAUGCGCGGGUUCGAUUCCCGCUACCCGCUCCA
rnacentral:tRNA from 2 species